ensembl:lncRNA SNHG19 small nucleolar RNA host gene 19
UCUUUUCGGGGUCGAGUCCGAGGGGGAAGAGGUUUGUUAAUACGUUCGCCAUGUGCUACGAUCUUGGGACGAACUGAGCCACGAGCGUGGCUUUGAGGGCCGUCCGAACGCUGCAGGCCGGCCAGGUCCCUGGGCGUCCAGGCCUGGCCUACGCACCACUUUGUCCCUUAGCGUUUAAAGGUUUCUUCCCGAAUCUCAGGCCCUCAGCUACCUGCAGGUAAGACUGGGCCGGGCUUGGGUUCCCUUAUUCUCCCAGUCUGUGAUGAAUUGCUUUGACUUCUGACACCUCGUAUGAAAACUGCACGUGCAGUCUGAUUAUUUAGCAAGACUGAGGCUUGAGGGUGCGCACUCCUGACGGGGAGCUGAGAGUGGAAACAGGUGUUGCCCGAAACGAAGGAGUGGGGACUUAAUGUCUGUAUUUUGGCGCUGACUUUCAGGUUUCGUCGCGAGCCGGCUGCAAGUUUUGAACCUAAGUAAACCUCAAUCCGGAGGGCCUAGCGGUAAGGUGGGCGCUGUGUCUAUUGAAGUGCUUAGCAAUAAAGAAAGGUAGUGAGUUGAUUCGGU